CCGGAGGGUCCCCCGGCCCCGCCCCGCCGCAGCGAGCGCGGCCUCCGCAGGCACCAUCGGCGGUCCGGGCGCCCGCCGGCCCCGCGGGAGGAUGUUGUUACUCUACAACCUGAUGGAUGAUCCCACACAGAAUCACUGAAUCAAUUAGGUUGGAAAAGAUUUCUGCAAUCCCUGAGUCCAGCCCGUGAUGGAUCAUAACCUUGUAAACUAGACCAGAGCACAUCCAGGCUUUCCUUAACCAUCUCCAGGGAUGGUGACUCUGCCACCUCCCUUGGCAGGCCCUUCCAAUGUCUAAUCACCCUUUCUGUAAAAAAAUUCUUCCUGAUGUACAACCUAAACCUUCCCUGGCACAGCUUAAGGCCCUGUCUUCUCAUCCUGUCGCUCGUUGCCUGGGAGAAGAAGCUAAAACUCCUUUCAGGUAGUUAAAGAAGUAAUGGUGAAAGCCACAAGCUUUUCAAGUAAUGAAAUAAUUAGAUAGAGGUUGUACUGGUCAGAAGACAUUAUUAGGUAAAAAAAUAAAUAAA